rnacentral:rRNA from 1 species
AGAUUGAACGCUGGCGGCAGGCCUAACACAUGCAAGUCGAGCGGCAGCACGGGUACUUGUACCUGGUGGCGAGCGGCGGACGGGUGAGUAAUGCCUAGGAAUCUGCCUGAUAGUGGGGGAUAACGCUCGGAAACGGACGCUAAUACCGCAUACGUCCUACGGGAGAAAGCAGGGGACCUUCGGGCCUUGCGCUAUCAGAUGAGCCUAGGUCGGAUUAGCUAGUUGGUGGGGUAAUGGCUCACCAAGGCGACGAUCCGUAACUGGUCUGAGAGGAUGAUCAGUCACACUGGAACUGAGACACGGUCCAGACUCCUACGGGAGGCAGCAGUGGGGAAUAUUGGACAAUGGGCGAAAGCCUGAUCCAGCCAUGCCGCGUGUGUGAAGAAGGUCUUCGGAUUGUAAAGCAUUUAAGUGGAGAAGGCAGUUACCUAAUACGUAUCUGUUUGACGUUACCGACAGAAAUAAGCACCGGCUAACUCUAGUACCAGCAACGG